rnacentral:tRNA from 1 species
AGCUCAGUCGGUAGAGAGUCUGCCUGUAAUGCAGGAGACCCAGGUUCAAUCUCUGG